UACCGAGGAAAGAAACCAACAGGGAUUGCCCCAGUAACGGCGAGUGAAGCGGCAACAGCUCAAAUUUGAAAUCUGGCUCCCUCGGGGCCCGAGUUGUAAUUUGCAGAGGGAGCUUUUGGCGUCGGUCGUGGUCUAAGUUCCUUGGAACAGGACGUCACAGAGGGUGAGAAUCCCGUACGUGGCCGCCGGCCUUCGCCUUGUAAAGCCCCUUCGACGAGUCGAGUUGUUUGGGAAUGCAGCUCUAAAUGGGAGGUAAAUUCCUUCUAAAGCUAAAUACCCGCCAGAGACCGAUAGCGCACAAGUAGAGUGAUCGAAAGAUGAAAAGCACUUUGGAAAGAGAGUGAAAAAGCACGUGAAAUUGUUGAAAGGGAAGCGCUUGCGGCUAGACGUGCCCGCGGUUGAUCAUCCAGGCUCCGGCCUGGUGCACUCCUCCGCGGGCAGGCCAGCAUCAGUUCGGGCGGUCGGAUAAAGGCCUCUGUCACGUACCACCCCUCGGGGUGGCCUUAUAGGGGAGGCGCAACACGGCCAGCCCGGACUGAGGUUCCGCGCAUCUGCUAGGAUGCUGGCGUAAUAGCAGCAAGCGGCCCGUCUUGAAACACGGACCAAGGAGUCUAACAUCUAUGCGAGUGUUUGGGUGUCAAGCCCGAGCGCGCAAUGAAAGUGAACGGAGGUGGGAACCCUCACGGGUGCACCAUCGACCGAUCCUGAUGUCUUCGGAUGGAUUUGAGUAAGAGCAUAGCUGUUGGGACCCGAAAGAUGGUGAACUAUGCCUGAAUAGGGUGAAGCCAGAGGAAACUCUGGUGGAGGCUCGCAGCGGUUCUGACGUGCAAAUCGAUCGUCAAAUUUGGGCAUAGGGGCGAAAGACUAAU
rnacentral:rRNA from 1 species